rnacentral:rRNA from 1 species
GAUGAACGCUGGCGGCGUGCCUAAUACAUGCAAGUCGAGCGAACGGACGAGAAGCUUUCUUCUCUGAUGUUAGCGGCGGACGGGUGAGUAACACGUGGAUAACCUACCUAUAAGACUGGGAUAACUUCGGGAAACCGGAGCUAAUACCGGAUAAUAUUAUGAACCGCAUGGUUCAAAAGUGAAAGACGGUCUUCCUGUCACUUAUAGAUGAAUCCGCGCUGGAUUAGCUAGUUGGUAAGGUAACGGCUUACCAAGGCAACGAUGCAUAGCCGACCUGAGAGGAUGAUCAGCCACACUGGAACUGAGACACGGUCCAGACUCCUACGGGAGGCAGCAGUAGGGAAUAUUCCACAAUGGGCGAAAGCCUGACGGAGCAACGCCGCGUGAGUGAUGAAGGUCUUCGGAUCGUAAAACUCUGUUAUUAGGGAAGAACAUAUGUGUAAGUAACUGUGCACAUCUUGACGGUACCUAAUGAGAAAGCCACGGCUAACUUCGUG